rnacentral:rRNA from 1 species
CUUUAAUCUAACUUUAUUUUAAUUUUAUCAAAAAACAGAAAAAUAUUUUAUUUUUAGUUACAAAUAUAUAUACAUUGUGUUUACUGUAAUAAAAUGUAAAAAUUUUUAACUAAACUGGGGUUAGAUUCCUACUAUAUUUUUAAUAAAUUAUUUAGAGUAUUAAAAACAUGUUUCUAAACUCAAAAAACAUGGCAGUAUUUUACUCCUUGUAGAGGAAUUCGAAUAUAGAACGAUAAUCCUCGCUAUAUCUUGUUUUAUUUUGUUUUGUGUGUGGUUGUUUAAACUAAUAAAAAAUUAUAUUUUUUAAUUCAGAUUACAUGUAAAAAUAUUAAAGUUUAUUUUAAUUACAAAUAAAAAUAUUUAGGAUUUGCAAGUAAUAAAAAAUUAUAUUUUUUUAUGUUGAGGUUAUAAAAUGUGUUCAUAUUGUCCGUCACUCUCUGAGAA